rnacentral:misc_RNA from 1 species
GGGAUCACUAUCAUCACAAGGCAAAUACAUUAGUUUCCAAAAAUGGGUGCAAACAAUAAAGAAGGAAAACAAAAUCGUAAGACAUGAAUUCGAAUGUGAAGGAAUAUAUUGGUAGAUUUCAAGGAUACUUUUCGAGUUGAAUAUCGUAGCACGGGGCAAGGUCGACCUCUGGAAGCUAAUGGAACUUUGAUCUCUAUGUACACGCCAACCUUCUUUCCAGGUUCCAAAGGUAAAUCUAGUGUUCUCCCCGGUAUUGGACAUGGUAGAAACAUAUGAAUAUGAGAAGACUGGAGUACCCAAACUCUGGUGUGCAUUGGAGUCACCCGACAAAAAAAUAUUGAUGAAGAUAAGCAAAAU